AUUGUUAGUAGUAAAAUUAUGAAGCAAAAAAUUAUGGCGGUAUUUUAAGCUUUUCAGAGGAAUUUGCUCUAUAAUGGAUAAAACACCCAAAUCUUACUUAAAUUUGCUAGAACAAUUUGUAUACCACUAUAAAAAUAAUUAAUAACUUUAAUUAUUAAAAUUUAUUAAAUUAAAUUAUAUUAAGUCAAGGUGCAGUAAAAAUUUAAGGAUGAAGUGAAUUACAUUGCUUAUUAGAGACUCUAAAUUAAAUUCAUAUUUAGGAUUUGAAAGUAAAAUUAAAAUAGGAUGUUAAUUUGAAUCAAGCUCUAAAAUAUGUAC
rnacentral:rRNA from 1 species